UACGUAGGGACCAAGCGUUGUUCGGAAUCACUGGGCUUAAAGAGCUCGUAGGCGGUCUGUCGCGUCGAAUGUGAAAACCCGGGGCUCAACCCCGGGCCUGCAUUCGAUACGGGCAGACUAGAGUUCGGUAGGGGAGACUGGAAUUCCUGGUGUAGCGGUGAAAUGCGCAGAUAUCAGGAGGAACACCGGUGGCGAAGGCGGGUCUCUGGGCCGAUACUGACGCUGAGGAGCGAAAGCGUGGGGAGCGAACAGG
rnacentral:rRNA from 1 species